rnacentral:rRNA from 1 species
UAGGGAAUCUUCGGCAAUGGGGGGAACCCUGACCGAGCAACGCCGCGUGAGUGAAGAAGGUUUUCGGAUCGUAAAGCUCUGUUGUUAAGGAAGAACGAGUGUGAGAAUGGAAAGUUCAUACUGUGACGGUACUUAACCAGAAAGGGACGGCUCACUACGUGCCAGCAGCCGCGGUAAUACGUAGGUCCCGAGCGUUGUCCGGAUUUAUUGGGCGUAAAGCGAGCGCAGGCGGUUAGAUAAGUCUGAAGUUAAAGGCAGUGGCUCAACCAUUGUAGGCUUUGGAAACUGUUUAACUUGAGUGCAGAAGGGGAGAGUGGAAUUCCAUGUGUAGCGGUGAAAUGCGUAGAUAUAUGGAGGAACACCGGUGGCGAAAGCGGCUCUCUGGUCUGUAACUGACGCUGAGGCUCGAAAGCGUGGGGAGCGAACAGG